rnacentral:rRNA from 1 species
CCUGCUCAAUGAAAAUAAAUUCUUUAAAUAGCCGCAGUACUUUGACUGUGCUAAGGUAGCAUAAUAAAUUGGCUUUUAAUUGAAGUCUGGAAUGAAAGGUAAUUUUAAAAAAAAUUGUCUCUGGUUAGGUUUAUUUAAUUUACUUAAUAGGUGAAAAUUCCUAUAAACUUUUUUAAUAGACGAGAAGACCCUAAGAAUUAUUUAAAAAUAAGUUUAUUUAACUUUAAUUUUUUGUUGGGGCAACAACUUUGGAUAAUAACCAAAGGGAUUAAAAAUUUUAAGUCAAAUUUUAUUUUGAAGAAUUUUAAUUACCUUAGGGAUAACAGCAUAAUUUUUUUUUUAGAUUGUGACCUCGAUGUUGGAUUAAGGAUUUCUUAGAUAAGCCAUUUAAGAAAAUAGUUCUGUUCGAACUUUUUAUCCUU